AAAAUUACUGACAGUAACUGAAUUAUCAAGCGAUAAGUAGCAUUCUUCAAGUAAGCCAAGUUAAGUAAGCUUUCAAGUGAGCUGAGGCAAGUUAGCCUUCAAACAUGGCACCUGCUAUGUCUAAAAACAUUAGAGAAUUACAGUAUCAAAUAAGUUCACCUUUGCUUCAUAUAUAUCACUCAGAAGGAAACAAAAAACUAGCACUUCAGCAAAGAAAUAUUUAUUGCAGUAAAACGUUUUCGGACGUAUCACACCAUCCCUCAUCAGUACUGGCAAAAAUUACAAGUAUUCUAUUAUUCUAUUAUUCGAAUUCC
rnacentral:lncRNA from 1 species